GACGAACCGUCCAAACGUUAUUCGGAAUUAUUGGGCUUAAAGGGUGCGUAGGCUGUGCAGUAAGUUGGGUGUGAAAUCCCUCGCUCAACCGAGGAACUGCGCCGAAUACUGCUGUGCUAGAGGAAGAUAGGGGUAAGCGGAACUGGUGGUGGAGCGGUGAAAUGCGUUGAUAUCAUCAGGAACACCGGUGGCGAAGGCGGCUUACUGGAUCUUUUCUGACGCUGAUGCACGAAAGCUAGGGGAGCGAACGGG
rnacentral:rRNA from 1 species